rnacentral:lncRNA from 1 species
CCAGGGAGACCCUUCCUGGUGCCACACGGCCUGGACGAUGUCGUCGGUGGCAAGCGGAAGAGGAAGGGACCGAGGAAGCUCCAGGACUUCAUGGAAUGGUUCUCUGCAGCCUAUAACAACGUCGCUGACAGCAGGAAAACCAGGAGGAAAGGGCCAACAUUCGCAGAUCUGGAGGUGCUGUACUGGAAGGAGCAGAAGUUGCGGAUGGCGGCACAGAGGAAGCUGCAGAGCUGGCCGGUG